UACAGAGGUCUCAAGCGUUGUUCGGAUUCAUUGGGCGUAAAGGGUGCGUAGGCGGCGCGGUAAGUCGGGUGUGAAAUCUCGGAGCUUAACUCCGAAACUGCAUUCGAUACUGUGGUGCUUGAGGACUGGAGAGGAGACUGGAAUUCAUGGUGUAGCAGUGAAAUGCGUAGAGAUCAUGAGGAAGACCAGUGGCGAAGGCGGGUCUCUGGACAGUUCCUGACACUGAGACACGAAGGCCAGGGGAGCAAACGGG
rnacentral:rRNA from 1 species